UAGUUUGCAAGGCGACAGGAGUCGCGAAAAGGCUCUGGAGUGGUCUCACCCCACCCUCGACCUGUAGCAAUAACUCCUCCGCGAGGGCAGGUGCUGAGUGAACAGUUCCGCCGCCUGCGGUUUCCGGGUGCGGUGCAAGGAGACGCGGGGUAUAGGCUCGCCCAGGCUUUUAACCAGAGACAGCCGGCAUGUACUCCAAAGUUUUUCUCACCAGGAAUAUUCAGUAAAACUGAACGUUGGCAGAGUCAGAACAAACAAAAGAAAGUACUUCUUCACACAGUGCAUAAACUAUGGAAUUCUUUCCUAGAAAGAGGCAGUGAUGGUCACCAGCUUGGAUGGAUCAGACAAUCUCAUGGAGGAUAAGGCUAUCAAUGGCUAAUAGCGACAAGGAGAAUGUUAAGCAUGGCUGCCAUUGAUUUUGUUCUUUGAGGUGUGCUGGUUACUGAAAAUGGAAAUGGAUUGCCUUCAAGUCAAUCCCAACUUACGGCUACCCUAUGAAUAGGGUUUUCUUGCUACAGCUGAAAGCAACAGAUGUGGAAAAAGCAGGAACCUUAAAAUAAUGUGAAGCAGUUGCAUCAGGUGGAGAAUUCCAGAAGAGCUGAUGUUUUUAUGUCCUCAGUCUCCAUCUCUUAUGAAACCUUUUUUUCCAUCUGGAUUUUGUAGCUCUCCUGUGCACGAGCAAUUUCUUUGCCAGCAUUAAAGUGUACCAUCUGCCUGCUGAGAAUAGGAACAACCAAGUUGAAGUCAUUAAUUCUUUUGUUUAGGACUUUGAUGUUUAUUAUAAACUGUUCACAAACCUCCUUCCAUUGUUUCUCUUUUUGUGGUGUCAUUGGCUCUCCCAGUUUAUUUCUAGAAGCAACCAUAUCCUUUCUUAGUUUUUCAAUUGUUUCUCGUAUUUCUUUCUGCAUGAGAAUCCAUUCUGGUUGGUAUCCAUUGUCUAUCAGAA